UGGGGAAUUUUGGACAAUGGGCGAAAGCCUGAUCCAGCAAUGCCGCGUGUGUGAAGAAGGCCUUCGGGUUGUAAAGCACUUUUGUCCGGAAAGAAAUCCUUGGCUCUAAUACAGUCGGGGGAUGACGGUACCGGAAGAAUAAGCACCGGCUAACUACGUGCCAGCAGCCGCGGUAAUACGUAGGGUGCAAGCGUUAAUCGGAAUUACUGGGCGUAAAGCGUGCGCAGGCGGUUUGCUAAGACCGAUGUGAAAUCCCCGGGCUCAACCUGGGGAACUGCAUUGGUGACUGGCAGGCUAGAGUAUGGCAGAGGGGGGUAGAAUUCCACGUNUGAGCAGUGAAAUGCGUAGGAGAUGUGGAGGAAUACCGAUGGCGAAGGCAGCCCCCUGGGCAAUACUGACGCUCAUGCACG
rnacentral:rRNA from 1 species